UACGAAGGAUGCAAGCGUUAUCCGGAUUCACUGGGUUUAAAGGGUGUGCAGGUGGGGUAAUAAGUCAGUGGUGAAAGCCCCGACUCAAUCGGGGAACUGCCAUAGAUACUGUUAUUCUUGAGUGUGGUUGAGGCGGAUGGAAUAUGACAUGUAGCGGUGAAAUGCUUAGAUAUGUCAUAGAACACCAAUCGCGAAGGCAGUCCGCCAAACCAUUACUGACACUGAAACACGAAAGUGCGGGGAUCAAACAGG
rnacentral:rRNA from 1 species